GGCCGACUAGCUCAGUUGGUUAGAGCGUCGUGCUAAUACUUAAUUUCGAGAUCGUUGCGCGUCCUGAUGCACGACUAUCUCGGAGCUGAGGUACGCGAAGGUCUUGGGUUCGAUCCCCACGUUGGCCA